rnacentral:rRNA from 1 species
GAACGCUGGCGGCAUGCCUUACACAUGCAAGUCGAACGGUAACGGCGGGGCAACCUGGCGACGAGUGGCGAACGGGUGAGUAAUAUAUCGGAACGUGCCCAGUAGUGGGGGAUACGCCCGGCGAAAGCCGGAUUAAUACCGCAUGAGACCUGAGGGUGAAAGCGGGGGAUCGCAAGACCUCGCGCUAUUGGAGCGGCCGAUAUCAGAUUAGGUAGUUGGUGGGGUAAAGGCCUACCAAGCCGACGAUCUGUAGCUGGUCUGAGAGGACGACCAGCCACACUGGGACUGAGACACGGCCCAGACUCCUACGGGAGGCAGCAGUGGGGAAUUUUGGACAAUGGGCGCAAGCCUGAUCCAGCCAUGCCGCGUGCGGGAAGAAGGCCUUCGGGUUGUAAACCGCUUUUGUCAGGGAAGAAAUCUUCUGGGCUAAUACCUCGGGAGGAUGACGGUACCUGAAGAAUAAGCACCGGCUAACUACGUG